CCAUAAUUUUAUUCUACACGUGCAUAUCAAUACUUUCACAUAAAUACCACAGAGUAAACUUACGGCCUACGGUACCUGUUGUAUCCCUACUCUUUGAUAAAUACGAAAAAUAUCGAAAUAGUAUCGAUUUGUCUUGAAGUUUACGAUUUAUAUCGAUGCAAAUCAAUCUGAAGUAGUACGAACUUGCCUGAACACCAUUUGUUGUGACAAUGACAUAAUAAUGUUUGUGUUGUAUAUAUAGAUUAAAAGGUUUACUUUUAUUUGUCAGAUUUUAUUUGUAAAUCUGUCAUAUAUUUUAAUUAUUUACGAUUGAAUUUUUAUUAUUGUUAUUAUAGAAAGAAAUUAUCUUCAAAAACUCAGAUAUGGAUAAUAACUUACCACUUCCAAUUGAUAAAAUGCCAAAAUGUUGGACUGAUGAGGAAAGAAUAAAUGCAUUAUUUUCACCUUUUCGAAGUAAAUUAGCUAAUCCUCAAGAUUGGACAUCAAAAUAUAAAUUUUGGCAAAAUUUAAUAUAUGAAUGGUUGAAAUACACAAUGAGAAGCAGUUUUUCUAUUUCAGAUUUAAAUCAUGCUUUUAAGCGAAAAGGUUGUUCACCACUUUGCCUUCCAACCGUUGUGGAAGAACUUCAUCGGAAUAAUGAAAUAAUUCCAGAAAAUGAAUUCUUAAAAGAACCAUGUGAUUCAUGGACAGCAUGGUCAAUUGACUUAUUUGUAAAGAGACCACUUUCAUGGUCAUUUGUAAAGGUUAAAAGUUAUAUUGUAAACAAUGAAGUUAAUAAGGAAGCUAGGUAUAUACAUCUACAAAUUAUCAAGGAGUUAGGAAAGGAUAUAUUUACAAUUUUGGAAGAAAAAAAGGAGAAUGUUCUUACACCAUUUUCUGAGAUAUUAAAAGACUGUAAAUGUAAAAUAGAUGAAAACAUAUCAGAGAAUACACUAAUGUUGAUUUUAAUAUGGUUAAGACGAGAAAAGAAAAUAACUUUUAGAAAUAGCGAAACUGAAAAUGAACUGUUAAUUAAGAUUAUUAUACACUCGUCGCAUGGCAUAACGGAAAUUGAAGAAGGGUUAUAUAAAUUAAUUAAACAAGAAAAUGAAUUAAUAAAAGAAAUAGAACUCAUGGAGAAAGAAAAGAUUAAUAUUAUUAAUGAAACCAAGUUAUAUCUAGCGAAAGGAUUACGGCAAGUGGCAAAAACACAUUUAAAAAAGAAAAGAAAAUUAGAAAGCACUAUUGAAAAACGAUCACAAAUCCUUGAAAAUAUUCAAAAUCUUAUAUCAACUAUUCAAAAUACUCAUACAAAUACUGCUGUAUUGUCAGCUUAUAAAACAGGAUCUGAUGUAUUGAAAAAACUCAAUGAAAGUUGUUUGUCAGAAUCUGAUGUUAGGGAUGUUAUGGAUGAUUUGUCAGAAGCGUUAGACGAACAAAAAGAAAUAGAGUCUAUAUUAUCUGAAACUAUGAAAGGUGAUGAUUCAUACACUGAUUUAGAAAAAGAAUUAGCAGAAUUAAUUGAACUCGAUGAAAAUGUUCUUCCUUCUGCACCAGAUGCAGAACCAAGUUCUGUUAAGGAACUUGAGGAUAGAUUAAAUAAAUUGCGUAUAGGAGUGCAACCAAUGUCGGCAUGAAUAACACAGAAGAUUAUUUGUGUAAAUACAGAUAUUAAUAGUAAUGCAGUCAGUUUCGUUUAAACUAAAGUUUAGUUUUGCCAUUCUUCCUGCUUAGGUUUUCAUUCUGUGGUAUUUAAUUUAAUUUAAAUGUAAAGUGCUAAAAAAGCAUAUGUAAAAUUUAAAUACAUUGAAUAUUAAGAAGAUAUUUAAAAAUGGAAAUUUAAUUUUUAUGUUGGAUAUGAAUGUGAAGGGAGACAGUUAAGUUAAAUAGUUGAAUUGUUCACAUCCUGAAAACAAAAUUAUCUACUGCAGCAACCAGUACACCACCAAAAUUACCAGAAAAUAAUCAAAAUAAGAAAAAAUUAAUAAAGU